rnacentral:rRNA from 1 species
UGGUGGAGUGAUUUGUCUGGUUAAUUCCGUUAACGAACGAGACCUCGACCUGCUAAAUAGUUGACCAAACCAUCCGGUUUGGAUUGACUUCUUAGAGGGACUUUUGGUGGUUAGCUAAAGGAAGUUCGAGGCAAUAACA